rnacentral:rRNA from 1 species
UUGAACGCUGGCGGCAUGCUUUACACAUGCAAGUCGAACGGGUGAGGAGCUUGCUCCUCAUCUAGUGGCGAACGGGUGAGUAAUACAUCGGAACGUACCGUGUAGUGGGGAUAACGUAGCGAAAGUUACGCUAAUACCGCAUACGAUCCACGGAUGAAAGCAGGGGACCUUCGGGCCUUGUGCUAUACGAGCGGCCGAUGUCUGAUCAGCUAGUUGGUGGGUAAAGGCCCACCAAGGCAACGAUCAGUAGCGGGUCUGAGAGGAUGAUCCGCCACACUGGGACUGAGACACGGCCCAGACUCCUACGGGAGGCAGCAGUGGGGAAUUUUGGACAAUGGGCGCAAGCCUGAUCCAGCCAUGCCGCGUGUCUGAAGAAGGCCUUCGGGUUGUAAAGGACUUUUGUCAGGGAGCAAAACCCAGCAGCUAAUAUCUGUUGGGGAUGAGAGUACCUGAAGAAUAAGCACCGGCUAACUACGUG